GUUUGUGCAAACUCGCGUCUCAACACUUUUGAUUGACGGUAGCACCAGCAACACACCUUCCGAGCCUUCUGUGAAACCUGUCCAGCGAAGAAAAUGGCUCGGUGUCAACGGAAAUAGAUCUCCAGAGCCGGUUACUAUCAUAAUUAUAGCCCAUGAUGGUUUCACACUCAUCGCU